UAGGGAAUAUUGCACAAUGGGCGAAAGCCUGAUCCAGCAACGCCGCGUGCGCGAUGACGGCCUUCGGGUUGUAAAGCGCUUUUCGGGGAGAUGAGGAAGGACAGUAUCCCCGGAAUAAGGCUCGGCUAACUACGUGCCAGCAGCCGCGGUAACACGUAGGAGCCAAGCGUUAUCCGAAUUCACUGGGCGUAAAGCGCGUGUAGGCGGCUUGGUAAGUUGGAUGUGAAAGCUCCUGGCUCAACUGGGAGAGGACGCUCAAUACUGCCGGGCUAGAGGGCGACAGAGGGAGGUGGAAUUCCCGGUGUAGUGGUGAAAUGCGUAGAUAUCGGGAGGAACACCAGUGGCGAAAGCGGCCUCCUGGGUCGCACCUGACGCUCAGACGCGAAAGCUAGGGGAGCGAACGG
rnacentral:rRNA from 1 species